rnacentral:rRNA from 1 species
AGAUUAAGUUAUUAAGGGCGCACGGUGGAUGCCUUGGCACUAGAAGCCGAUGAAGGACGUUACUAACGACGAUAUGCUUUGGGGAGCUGUAAGUAAGCUUUGAUCCAGAGAUUUCCGAAUGGGGAAACCCAGCAUGAGUUAUGUCAUGUUAUCGAUAUGUGAAUACAUAGCAUAUCAGAAGGCACACCCGGAGAACUGAAACAUCUUAGUACCCGGAGGAAGAGAAAGAAAAUUCGAUUCCCUUAGUAGCGGCGAGCGAAACGGGAAGAGCCCAAACCAACAAGCUUGCUUGUUGGGGUUGUAGGACACUCUAUACGGAGUUACAAAGGACGACAUUAGACGAAUCAUCUGGAAAGAUGAAUCAAAGAAGGUAAUAAUCCUGUAGUCGAAAAUGUUGUCUCUCUUGAGUGGAUCCUGAGUACGACGGAGCACGUGAAAUUCCGUCGGAAUCUGGGAGGACCAUCUCCUAAGGCUAAAUACUCUCUAGUGACCGAUAGUGAACCAGUACCGUGAGGGAAAGGUGAAAAGCACCCCGGAAGGGGAGUGAAAUAGAACCUGAAACCGUGUGCUUACAAGUAGUCAGAGCCCGUUAAUGGGUGAU